rnacentral:rRNA from 1 species
GAUGAACGCUGGCGGCGUGCCUAAUACAUGCAAGUCGAGCGAACAGACGAGGAGCUUGCUCCUCUGACGUUAGCGGCGGACGGGUGAGUAACACGUGGAUAACCUACCUAUAAGACUGGGAUAACUUCGGGAAACCGGAGCUAAUACCGGAUAAUAUAUUGAACCGCAUGGGUCAAUAGUGAAAGACGGUUUUGCUGUCACUUAUAGAUGGAUCCGCGCCGCAUUAGCUAGUUGGUAAGGUAACGGCUUACCAAGGCAACGAGGCGUAGCCGACCUGAGAGGGUGAUAGCCCACACUGGAACUGAGACACGGUCCAGACUCCUACGGGAGGCAGCAGUAGGGAAUCUUCCGCAAUGGGCGAAAGCCUGACGGAGCAACGCCGCGUGAGUGAUGAAGGUCUUCGGAUCGUAAAACUCUGUUAUUAGGGAAGAACAAAUGUGUAAGUAACUAUGCACGUCUUGACGGUACCGAAUCAGAAAGCCACGGCUAACUACGUG